rnacentral:rRNA from 1 species
GAUGAACGCUGGCGGCGUGCUUAACACAUGCAAGUCGAACGAUGAAGCCCAGCUUGCUGGGUGGAUAGUGGCGAACGGGUGAGUAACACGUGAGUAACCUGCCCUUGACUCUGGGAUAAGCCCGGGAAACUGGGUCUAAUACCGGAUAGGAGCGCCUGUCGCAUGACGGGUGCUGGAAAGAUUUUUCGGUCAUGGAUGGACUCGCGGCCUAUCAGCUUGUUGGUGAGGUAAUGGCUCACCAAGGCGACGACGGGUAGCCGGCCUGAGAGGGUGACCGGCCACACUGGGACUGAGACACGGCCCAGACUCCUACGGGAGGCAGCAGUGGGGAAUAUUGCACAAUGGGCGGAAGCCUGAUGCAGCGACGCCGCGUGAGGGAUGACGGCCUUCGGGUUGUAAACCUCUUUCAGUAGGGAAGAAGCGGAAGUGACGGUACCUGCAGAAGAAGCACCGGCUAACUACGUG